rnacentral:rRNA from 1 species
UAAUACGGAGGAUGCGAGCGUUAUCCGGAUUUAUUAGGUUUAAAGGGUGUGUAGGCGGAAGUCUAAGUCAGUGGUGAAAUCCCCCAGCUUAACUGGGGAACUGCCAUAGAUACUGGAUUUCUUGAGUACAGUUGAAGUAGGCGGAAUGUGUAAUGUAGCGGUGAAAUGCUUAGAUAUUACACAGAACACCGAUUGCGAAGGCAGCUUGCUAAGCUGUUACUGACGCUGAUGCACGAAAGCGUGGGUAGCGAACAGGAUUAGAUACCCUGGUAGUCCACGCCGUAAACGAUGAUUACUCGUUGUUGGCGAUAUAUAGUCAGCGACUGAGCGAAAGCAUUAAGUAAUCCACCUGGGGAGUACGGCGGCAACGCUGAAACUCAAAUGAAUUGACGG